rnacentral:rRNA from 1 species
UACAGAGGUCUCAACCGUUGUUCGGAUUCAUUGGGCGUAAAGGGUGCGUAGGCGGCGGGGCAAGUCAGGUGUGAAAUCUCGGGGCUCAACCCCGAAACUGCACUUGAUACUGCCUUGCUCGAGUACUGGAGAGGAGACUGGAAUUUACGGUGUAGCAGUGAAAUGCGUAGAUAUCGUAAGGAAGACCAGUGGCGAAGGCGAGUCUCUGGACAGUUACUGACGCUGAGGCACGAAGGCCAGGGGAGCAAAGCGGG